GGAGCUGGCAAAGGCUGGGUUGGAAAAUAUGUGUUUAUCUACUGAUAUCAGUAUCUAUAGAUGUCUAUGUCGAAAGGUUUCUCUAUAUUAAAGAUUUCUAUCAAUACCUGUAUUAAAGAUGUAUAUAUCUGCAGAUGCAGCAAAGGAAGCUUGUGCAUUUGAUCAUAUUAUCAAAACAUAUAUUUUGAUUGAUAUCCAAGAACUAGGAAGGGAUUUUAAAGUGUGGUAUAAAAUCAUACAUGAAUGUUACCAACAUGUGUGCCAAAAUGUAGUUUAGAACGACAUACCCACAAAUAUCUUUAAAUCCAGAAAAACAAGGUUAACAAAUGUCAUUUACCAGGCCCUGUCAAGGAUUGUCAUUUAUACCAGUCGACCAUCACAACCAGACAGAGCAUGAGAUGUUUGGUGAAAGGAGGGUUACAUUGAUGGAGGGAACCCCACAGGGAGACACAGAAAGAGAGAAAGCCUGCCUUGGUGUUACCCACAAAGCACCCGGAGGAUUAGACCUAGCAAUGCUGAUGGACCAGGAAUAAAAACACAACUAUUUCAGCUGCUGCUCUGCAGCCUGAUUUGGUGUAAGUUACAAGACUCUAGGGGUCCAGCCCUUCUGACAACCACUUAUCUGUCUGCUUAUACUUCUGGAACAUUCCAAAGCAGAAACACCACCAAACUGCUACCAUGCCCAUAUUUAGUCAACUGCAUUACGGCUGUAAGCUAUCAUGUCACAUUUAAUUAUUGAAUAUAUAUGUUGAUGUCUGUUUAUGAUGCAUCUUCUUGAACAGCAAGGAAGGUCAUGUAAACAGACAAUUUUAUUAAUCCAAACUUUUGUUAUUUCUGGGAGAUGACAGCACAAUGAAGGCAUGAGUGGUAUGUCAGAAAGCAAGGGGAGGGGUGUGUGAAGUGUGGACAAGCAGGAAUCAACAUUAAAGCAACUGGAAGAAAUCCUUCUAAGAUUCUAAUUCUCCUUGUCAAAAAUAAAGUUGUUGGUGGGCCACUACAAUAAACAGCACCAUUUCCCUUUCGACCAUUCAUCAAUGAACGUUAUGAAGAUGCCAGGUAGAGUUGAAUCAAA